UACGUAGGGGGCAAGCGUUGUCCGGAAUCAUUGGGCGUAAAGAGCGUGUAGGCGGUCCGGUAAGUCCGCUGUGAAAGUCAGGGGCUCAACCCUUGAAAGCCGGCCGAUACUGUCGGACUAGAGUCCGGAAGAGGCAAGUGGAAUUCCCGGUGUAGCGGUGAAAUGCGCAGAUAUCGGGAGGAACACCAAUGGCGAAGGCAGCUUGCUGGGACGGUACUGACGCUGAGGCGCGAAAGCGUGGGGAGCAAACAGG
rnacentral:rRNA from 1 species